AGCACUUCUAAAGGUAGAGGAGCCAUGUCAGGUAACCUUUUGACCCAGAAAAUAUGCACCACUAGCUGUGCAAAAUACACAUUUUGGUGAGGAUGUCGGAGGUGACCAUGUGAGAACAAGAAAAAUGACGACAGGUCCAACAAACAGGAUUUUUGGACCAAGACAGUCAAUGGUGCCUCGUCUUUGAACCAUGAAGGUCAAUAUGACACUGAUGGCCGCUUGAGGACGACACUCCCCGUAAGUGAAAACGUACAAAGUUAACUACAGCCGCCCUUCCUGGGUAACGCCACCACCAAUCCCUGGUCAUCCAUUGAAGCCAUCUCUCUCACUCUGCAUAGUCACACUGUUGCCGCUUCAUUCUC
ensembl:lncRNA